rnacentral:rRNA from 1 species
UUCGGGCCUUGCGCUAUCAGAUGAGCCUAGGUCGGAUUAGCUAGUUGGUAAGGUAACGGCUUACCAAGGCUACGAUGGGUAGGGGGUUCUGAGAGGGAGAUCCCCCACACUGGUACUGAGACACGGACCAGACUCCUACGGGAGGCAGCAGUGAGGAAUAUUGGACAAUGGGCGCAAGCCUGAUCCAGCCAUGCCGCGUGCAGGAUGACGGUCCUAUGGAUUGUAAACUGCUUUUAUACAGGAAGAAACACUCCGACGUGUCGGAGCUUGACGGUACUGUAAGAAUAAGGAUCGGCUAACUCCGUG